GACAUAAAAAUGGUCGCUCGGCCAUGAAAACGUGUGCUAUAGCUCACGGGAGGCCAAAACAGCCUUACCAGUCUCAAUGGUCAAAUCAUGGGUGGCGGACGGGAGGCACGAAAUCGCUGUUCGACGACAAAAACAUGUGUCACGGGAGGCCCUAAAACCUAAACCCUAAACCCUACAGCUCGUGGGAGGCCAAGAACAACUUUAAGGUGCUCUAGGGACCAAAACACGGGUGGUGGAACACGUACUUAAAAAUGGUCGCUCGACCAUGAAAACGUGUGCUAUAGCUCACUUGUGGCAAAAAAUGUCGUAACGGCCUCUCCGGUCUAAAACGUAGGUGGCAGGUCGGAUACAUGAAAUUGACACUUUGGCCACAGAAACGUGUGCUACAGCUCGUGGGAGGCCAAGAACAACUUUAAGGUGCUCUGGGGACCAAAACGCGGGUGGUGGAACACGUACUUAAAAAUGGUCGCUCGACCAUGAAAACAUGUGCUAUAGCUUAUGGGAGGCCAUAAACAUCCUUAGCAGUCUCAGUGGCCAAAUCAUGGGUGGUGGACGGGAGGCAUGAAAUCGUUGUUUGAUGAUGAAAACAUGUGUCACGGGAGGCCAAAAAUAGCCUUACGGGUCUUCGGGGACCAAAACGUGUACUAUGGUUUGGACACUAAAAUUCUACUAUGUCAGCAAAGUUGAUAUGGUUGGGAGACUCAAAUUUCAUUUUACCAUGGUUUCGACACUAAAAUCCUUUAGUGUCGAUGUUUAGGUUUAGGGUUUAGGGAUAGGAUUUUAGGGUCUAGGUUUCCAUAAAAUCGUGUGCUAGCUCACGGGUGGCAAAAAAAUGCCAUAACAGCCUCCCUAGUCUAAAACGAAGGUGGCAAGUCGGAUACAUAAAAUUGGCUGUUUGGCCACGGAAAUGUGUGAUAUAGCUCGCGGGAGGCCAAGAACCGCUUUACGGUGCUCCGGGGAAAAAAACACGUGUGGCGGAACGCGGACAUAAAAAUGGUCGCUGGGCCAUGAAAACGUGUGCUAUAGCUCACGGGAGGCCGAAACAGCCUUACCAGUCUCGAUGGUCAAAUCAUGGGUGGCGGACGGGAGGCACGAAAUCGUUGUUCGACGACAAAAACAUGUGUCACAGGAGGCCCUAAAACCUAUACCCUAAACCCUACAGCUCGUGGGAGGCCAAGAACAACUUUAAGGUGCUCUGGGGACGAAAACGCGAUUUCGUGUCUCCCGUAUCAGCAAACUUUAAGGUGCUCUGGGUGGUGGAACACGUACUUAAAAAUGGUCGCUCGACCAUGAAAACGUGUGCUAUAGCUCACUUGUGGCAAAAAAUGUCCUAACGGCCUCUCCGGUCUAAAACGUAGGUGGCAGGUCGUAUACAUGAAAUUAGCACAUUGGCCACGAAAACGUGUGCUACAGCUCGUGGGAGGCCAAGGACAACUUUAAGGUGCUCUGGGGACCAAAACGUGGGUGGUGGAACACGUACUUAAAAAUGGUCGCUCGACCAUGAAAACGUGUGCUAUAGCUUACGGGAGGCCAUAAACAGCCUUAGCAGUCUCAGUGGCCAAAUCAUGGGUGGCGGACGGGAGGCAUGGAAUCGUUGUUUGUUGAUGAAAACAUGUGUCACGGGAGGCCAAAAAUAGCCUUACCGGUCUCCAGGGACCAAAACGUGUACUAUGGUUUGGACACUAAAAUUCUACUAUGUCAGCAAAGUUGAUAUGGUUGGGAGACUCAAAUUUCAUUUUACCAUGGUUUCAACACUAAAAUCCUUUAGUGUCGAUGUUUAGGUUUAGGGUUUAGGGAUAGGAUUUAGGGUCUAGGUUUCCAUAAAACCGUGUGCUAUAGCUCACGGGUGGCAAAAAAUGCCAUAAUGGCCUCCCCGGUCUAAAACGAAGGUGGCAUGUCGGAUACAUAAAAUUGGCUGUUUGGCCACGGAAAUGUGUGCUAUAGCUCAAGGGAGGCCAAGAACUGCUUUAAGGUGCUCCGGGGACAAAAACACGUGUGGCGGAACGCGAAAAUAAAAAUGGUCGCUCGGCCAUGAAAACGUGUGCUAUAGCUCACGGGAGGCCAAAACAGCCUUACUAGUCUCAAUGGUCAAAUCAUGGGUGGCGGACGGGAGGCACAAAAUCGCUGUUCGACGACAAAAACAUGUGUCACGGGAGGCCAAAAUAGCCUUACGGACCUCCGGGGACUAAAACGUGUACUUUGGUUUGGACACUAAAAUUCUACCAUGCUUGUAAGCUUACUAUGGUUUGGAGAGCCUGUAAGCUUACUAUGGUUUGGAGACUCAAACUUCAUUUUACUAUGGUUUGGACACUAAAACCUUUUUGUUUCGGUGUUUAAGGUUAGGGUUUAGGGAUUGGAUUCGGGGUCUAGGUUACCAUAAAACGUGUGCUAUAGCUCACUUGUGGCAAAAAAUGUCGGAACGGCCUCUCCGGUCUAAAACGUAGGUGGUAGGUCGGAUACAUGAAAUUGGCUCUUUGGCCAUGGAAAUGUGUGCUACAGCUCGUGGGAGGCCAAGAACAACAUUAAGGUACUCUGGGGACCAAAACGCGGGUGGUGGAACACGUACAUAAAAAUGGUUGCUCGAUCAUGAAAACGUGUGCUAUAGCUUACGGGAGGCAAUAAACAGCCUUAGCAGUCUCAGUGGCCAAAUCAUGGGUGGCGGAUGGGAGGCAUGAAACCGUUGUUUGACGAUGAAAACAUGUGUCAUGGGAGGCCAAAAAUAGCCUUACCGGCCUCCGGGGACCAAAACGUGUACUAUGGUUUGGACACUAAAAUUCUACUAUGUCAGCAAAGUUGAUAUGGUUGGGAGACUCAGAUUUCAUUUUACCAUGGUUUGGACACUAAAAUCCUUUAGUGUCAAUGUUUAGGUUUAGGUUUAAGGAUAGGAUUUAGGGUCUAGGUUUCCAUGAAAUCGUGUGCUAUAGCUCACGGGUGGCAAAAAAAUGCCAUAACGGCCUCCCCGGUCUAAAACGAAGGUGGCAGGUCGGAUACAUAAAAUUGGCUGUUCGGCCACGGAAAUGUGUGAUAUAGCUCGCGGGAGGCCAAGAACCACAUUAAGGUGCUCCGGGGACAAAAACACGUGUGGCGAAAUGAGGACAUAAAAAUGGUCGCUGGGCCAUGAAAACGUGUGCUAUAGCUCACGGGAGGCCAAAACAGCCUUACCAGUCUCAAUGGUCAAAUCAUGGGUGGCGGACUGGAGGCACGAAAUCGCUGUUCGACGACAAAAACAUGUGUCACGGGAGGCCCUAAAACCUAAACCCUAAACCCUACAGCUCGUGGGAGGCCAAGAACAACUUUAAGGUGCUCU
rnacentral:lncRNA from 1 species